UACGUAGGGUGCAAGCGUUUAAUCGGAAUUACUGGGCGUAAAGCGUGCGCAGGCGGUUGUGCAAGACAGAUGUGAAAUCCCCGGGCUCAACCUGGGAAUUGCAUUUGUGACUGCACGGCUAGAGUGUGUCGAGAGGGGGGUAGAAUUCCACGUGUAGCAGUGAAAUGCGUAGAUAUCUGGGAGGAACACCGGUGGCGAAGGCGGCAUCCUGGACCAACACUGACGCUGAGGAGCGAAAGCCAGGGGAGCAAACGGG
rnacentral:rRNA from 1 species